UACGAAGGGGCUAGCGUUGCUCGGAAUUACUGGGCGUAAAGGGAGCGUAGGCGGACAUUUAAGUCAGGGGUGAAAUCCCGGGGCUCAACCUCGGUAUUGCCUUUGAUACUGGGUGUCUUGAGUAUGAGAGAGGUGUGUGGAACUCCGAGCGUAGAGGUGAAAUUCGUAGAUAUUCGGAAGAACACCAGUGGCGAAGGCGACGCACUGGCUCAUUACUGACGCUGAGGCUCGAAAGCGUGGGGAGCAAACAGGAUUAGAUACCCCGGUAGUCCCUGA
rnacentral:rRNA from 1 species